UACGUAGGGGGCUAGCGUUGUCCGGAAUCAUUGGGCGUAAAGCGCGUGUAGGCGGCCCGGUAAGUCCGCUCUGAAAGUCGGGGGCUCAACCCUCGGAUGCGGGUGGAUACUGUCGGGCUUGAGUGCGGAAGAGGCGAGUGGAAUUCCUGGUGUAGCGGUGAAAUGCGCAGAUAUCAGGAGGAACACCAAUUGCGAAGGCAGCUCGCUGGGACGUUACUGACGCUGAGACGCGAAAGCGUGGGUAGCAAACAGG
rnacentral:rRNA from 1 species